UACGAAGGGGGCUAGCGUUGCUCGGAAUCACUGGGCGUAAAGCGCACGUAGGCGGAUCUUUAAGUCAGGGGUGAAAUCCUGGAGCCCAACUCCAGAACUGCCUUUGAUACUGGGGAUCUCGAGUCCGGAAGAGGUGAGUGGAACUCCGAGUGUAGAGGUGAAAUUCGUAGAUAUUCGGAAGAACACCAGUGGCGAAGGCGGCUCACUGGUCCGGUACUGACGCUGAGGUGCGAAAGCGUGGGGAGCAAACAGG
rnacentral:rRNA from 1 species